CCUACGGGGCGCAGCAGUGGGGAAUAUUGCACAAUGGGGGAAACCCUGAUGCAGCAACGCCGCGUGAGUGAAGAAGUCAUCCGUGAUGUAAAGCUCUAUCAGCAGGGAAGAAGAUGACGGUACCUGACUAAGAAGCCCCGGCUAACUACGUGCCAGCAGCCGCGGUAAUACGUAGGGGGCAAGCGUUAUCCGGAUUUACUGGGUGUAAAGGGAGCGUAGACGGCAUGGCAAGUCUGAUGUGAAAACCCGGGGCUCAACCCCGGGACUGCAUUGGAAACUGUCAGGCUAGAGUGUCGGAGAGGCAA
rnacentral:rRNA from 1 species